AGCGCGGCUGGAACCCGGCCGACAGAAGAUGGCGGAUGAGCAGCGUGCAGGGUUUUCUCCCUGUGGCUCACUCUCUCUUACUGUGCUGGGCGGUUGCUUCCUCUCCUGCUGCCCUUGGGAGUCAGACUCCAGGUUCUUCAGCCUGUGGCCCCUGGGGCUCUCGGGCCUUGGAGGACUGACUAGGAGCACACGGUGGGCCUCUCUGGUUUGGGGGCCUGGGACGUGGCGGAGCCCUGCAGCUUCUGUGCGGCCUGUUCUGGGCGUCGCGUUGAAACGCCAGCCAGUUCCCCAAUCCCCCUGGGAUUACAGGAGUGUUGAAGAAAUGUUGUGACACAUCAGAACACCGCGAAAUACAUGGACACUUUCAAAUCAUGGAAGACUCAAGGACAAAGAAGACAGAAAAUACUACACACUACCCAGAGAUUGAAACUGAAGGUGUGAACAACAGAGAAAAGAGAGGGCAAAGAAAAGGAAAACAAAGAAGACGUGGGAUAUGAAAGGUGUAUGCCAUGUGUGGACAUCAAGAAAUGUUUCAGCUCGCACUUCUGCCACCAAUUGAGCCUGGAACCUCACUACUUGGAGUUGGGGGGAGGGCAGUGCUCAUUCAUCACCUGUGAAAAUAGGGAUUGAGAGUUCCCUAACUUUGCCAUUUUUCCUCAAGCACUGGCAUUGGUCUUCUGAAUGUCAGGCUCUGUAUAAGUGAGUCCUCAGCUGAGCCACAGGCUCUGCAUUCCUGGCAGUCCACACACUUCAUAUCCUUUGUUUAUGCUGCUCAUUUUGGAAUUCAAACAGGUUGGUGGGGCACAUUUCAACAGAUAAUGACACACACUGACUGCUCAUGAGCUAUUUUAUGGUGUGAGAAUGUUGUGAUGUUAUGAAAUGCGGAGGCAUUAAAACAUGGGGACAUUUUCUAGAAGAUCCUUAGCAGAGAGUACAGAAGACUAAGGUCCAAAUCUCUGAAAUGAUGUUUUCCAAAUUAUUGCACAGCUAUGUCAAAGUACCUUGAUCCAGUUAAUGUUAACAAAUAAAAAAUUAUGAAAUGUUAUUUUCUAGGUAUGGAUAGUAGUGGAUAGUAGUAGAUCUGUUGUGUAGUGGAGAUUACUUAGGAAGAAUAAAUUUCAACUUUACCAAGAAAGUACUACAUUAAUUGCAUUAGGGAAUUGUGAAUUGCAUUAGGAAAAUGCUCAUUCUUCUUUCAAUAGCCAAUAUCUGGAUACUAUACUCUCUUGAAUUUCUAAGAUUUGCAUCCAAUAUUCUAUAAUUAGCUUUCCAGUUUAUUGAAUGAUUUAAUUUACAUACAAAUAUUUUCUAAUAUAUUCCCUGUAAAAUAGUUUAAAAAAUUAAACGUUUCUCUAAUUACACAUUCCUCCCUAGCUGAUACAAUUUCAUUUAUUUGCUUACUUUCCCAGCUGGACAUUCAGAAAUUUUUUACUCAUAUUGUCUUCAAUUGCAUAUUUGCCAGUUUCUAGCUUUUAUUUUAUUUUUUAUAUCCAUUUUGUUCUAGGUGUGGAAAUUGCUAAGUGUAGAGCUUAAUAAUAUUUCACCAGAAAGAUAUGUGUCUAACUCCCUCAUGAAGAAAUAGUAUGUUACCAACACUCCCAAAUUUCCUUUGAUGUCAAAAAGCAUUAUUUUUCUCGAGUCUUUUUUUGUGUUGGUAUGAUAUAUAAACGAAAUCAUAUACACAUUUAUUUUUUCAUUUAGAUACUUUCCUUCAGUAUUAUGAUUGAGACAUUAACCUCAGUUUAAGUAUUUAUGUCAUUUUCAUUGCUAGUUCAUUGUAAGAAGCACACCUUUUAUUUAUCUAUUCCCUUAAUACAUAUUCCUGUUUCCAGUGUUAGAUUAAUGCAAAUAAGGCUAUCGUGAGCAUUCUUUUACAUGUUUUUCAGUGUACAAAUAUAUGCUGAGAGAGGAAUUACUGAAU
rnacentral:lncRNA from 1 species